GAAAGUGAAAGUAACUGUGUGGUCUACGCCGUUACAAAACGACUGUGGAAAAUGCAGCGCACAUUUCUCCGCAACAUUAGAAGUAGGAUAAAUGUGUUUAUUUGAAGGACAGACGGACAGAAUCUGUGAAUUGGUGUGUGAGAGUGUCACGGUUGUCGUCGGAAGGAUGAGACCAAAGCGCAGCGUGGGGUCAGUGAUCUAAAAUGAGUCACUCUGGGGAGAGAGAGGAGG